rnacentral:rRNA from 1 species
UACGUAGGGUGCGAGCGUUGUCCGGAAUUAUUGGGCGUAAAGGGCUCGUAGGCGGUUUGUCGCGUCGGGAGUGAAAACCUUGGGCUUAACUCAGGGCUUGCUUUCGAUACGGGCAGACUAGAGGUAUGCAGGGGAGAACGGAAUUCCUGGUGUAGCGGUGAAAUGCGCAGAUAUCAGGAGGAACACCGGGGGCGAAGGCGGGUCUCUGGGCCGAUACUGACGCUGAGGAGCGAAAGCGUGGGGAGCGAACAGG